UUAUCAGACUUGUUACAAGGUUGUUCUACCAAGUCUGAUACAGUCAUGAUAUAACAAGAAUGUUACAAGGUUGAUGACACAAGGUUGUAACAAUAUUGUUAUAUCAUGACUGUAUCGGACUUGUUGGAACAACCUUGUAACAAUUCUGAUAA